ensembl:lncRNA
AUGCACCAAGCAACACAAGCUUGGAUGCGUAACGAGAUCACCGGUGCCCAGUUCCACCUGCAGGCUGGCUGUACUUCCCCCGGCCUGAGUAUGGUCAACAGCUCAAAGGUCCCUGGGCAUUUGGGGGGCAUGGAGGAUUGGGCAUGGAGGAGGUGGGUCCCUGGGAUGAAGGCUUCUCCCUCCCGGUUUCAGGCUGCAGUAAGCCCCCCAACCCCCGUCCAGGUGUCCUCCACCUUGCCCAGUAACGAUGGUUACUGCAGCACUCAACACCCUCCUGCAACCCCUGCAUGUGCCCAAGGCUGCAGGGGGCUCAAUUCUUGGGCGCACGUGUUUCCCUGAAAUCACCUCCCACAAAAUGCUCGUUUUAGAGCAGAAUGGAGACCGAAGCGCACCGAGUAACAGCCCCCAAGACGUCCACGUCCUAACCCCUGGAGCCUUGAAUGUCACCUCACAUGCAAAGGGCUUGUGCAGAUGAGAGCAGGAGGGUGGGUGGACGUGGAAGCCGUGCAGUCCUGAGACUAGGACCACCACGGUUACUGGGGACUCUGGACGCAGCCCCGAGGGCCUGACGAGGAGGAGGCAGCGUGGGACCGCACCGUCCACAGCGAGCAUUGCAGAUGGAGUGAAGAGCCACCAACCAAGGGGUGCAGCGGCCUCUACACGUCAGAAAAACUCUUGCAGUGGAUUCCCCCUUAGAGACUUCAGGGGGAACCAGCCCUGCUGACACCGUGACUGGGCCCAGGGAGACCCAAUCCAGAGUCCCAAGAGGACACACGUGUUGUGUUAAGCCAUCGCAGCAGUAGGAAAGUACCACAGGAUGCUGGCUGAGACCUGAACGACUGCCCAGGACCCAGAUGGGCCGCCAGGGGUGACCCACUGUGCAGGCUGUGGGGACACAGCCCUGAGCCGCCGGCCUACAGGCCUAAGUGACAUCUGUUCUCGGAGCCCAUCCUUGUCCAGAAAUCCUUGGAGAGAAAUUCCCUUCACGUCCACUCAGGCGGGGACAACAAUGCCAGCAGUUGGGUGUGCGACCAAGGAGCAGGUGGGCUGGACGCUGGCCCGGCUCGGGGGCCGGCUGCUCGGCAGCUCCAGGGGCUAGGCGGGAGGGCAGUUGCUCUGAUCCGAUCAGCAGAGACCAUACACCAGGAUUCUUCUGCAGAAGCGUCUCAGUUUAAAACUGGAAUCUGUUAAAACUCUAAACGCACAGUGGAUAAACUUCAACUUUGCAGCUGGCUGCUGACGGAAGCAGGCCGUGCUCUCCUGGGGUUCCUGGCCCGUCCACACUCAAACCUCAGGCCCAGCUUCUGCAGGAGGAGUGGGAGGGGCCUGGUCACCAAGCCAAGUGGUCUCAGAGGUCAGGCGAGCCUGCACUAGGUCACCGGUGGGAGCUUCCAAGUCCCCUGGCUGCGCUGGGCUGGCGGAGGCCUGGAGCCCAGGUCUCUCAGAAAGCUGGGGUGGGGGAGGCAGGAGACGGGGAGCACUGACUCCGGGGAGAGACUGAGGGGGGGCGAGGGAUCCCUGGGACUCUGACCUGCUCCAGGGUCCUGGGCGGCCUCCAGGUCUCCAGGCCUUGCUGGCGCAGGGACGGGAGACCGCCCUUCCCACGCUCAAGGGGCCUCGGGCCGGUGACUCUUGCGGUGGAUGACCAGCUGGGACUUCCAGUCGAAGCUGUGGCCGCAGUCAGCACAGAGGUGGCGCCGCUGGCCGGCAUGGCCCUUGCGGUGGAUGACCAGCUGCGACUUCCAGCUGAAGCUGUGGCCGCACUC